CGUGCACUUAGCAAAUAAAACUUGUCACAUAAAAACUUGUCGUAGAAAUCUUGCUCGUCUGUAACCGGCUUUAGGUGGGCAACUUCAUUGUUCAUUGUUCAUUGACAAUACUCAUUCGCACUUGAUGUCGAGACUCACACGACAUUACGCCAAGCGAAAUAUCUAAAAAGUAUUACAAUGAUGUACCGUACCGAGUAUAAUCGUAAAAAUAAUGGCGAUUCAUGAGUUUAUACUUAACCCAUAAACUUAUAGUAGCUACUGUAUCAUGUUCGCGUAACUCGAAUGAUAAAUUAGCAACUGAUAUAUGUAACGCAAACUGAUUCAACCCACGCACACUACAUAUAAUGAUAUAUAACUUGAUUAAAUAUUUGACUGUUCUCUGAUCCGAGUUCAUGGACCCAUGCAGAAUUGAAAUAUUCAUGCU